rnacentral:rRNA from 1 species
UGAGUACGAGCUGCUACGGCAGCGAAGUGGGUGAUGUCAAGCUUCCAAGAAAAGCCCUAUACCCGUUAAGGCAUGACGGCCUGUACCCGAAACCGACACAGGUGGGGUGGUAGAGAAUACCGAGGGGCGCGAGAUAACUCUCUCUAAGGAACUCGGCGAAAUGGCCCCGUAACUUCGGGAGAAGGGGUGCCACCGCAAGGUGGUCGCAGUGAAGAGGCCCAGGCGACUGUUUACCAAAAACACAGGUCUCCGCUAAGUCGCAAGACGAUGUAUGGGGGCUGACGCCUGCCCAGUGCCGGAAGGUUAAGGAAGCUGGUCAGCGCAAGCGAAGCUAGCGACUGAAGCCCCGGUGAACGGCGGCCGUAACUAUAACGGUCCUAAGGUAGCGAAAUUCCUUGUCGGGUAAGUUCCGACCCGCACGAAAGGCGUAACGAUCUGGGCGCUGUCUCGGAGAGAGGCUCGGCGAAAUAGAAUUGUCUGUGAAGAUGCGGACUACGUGCACCCGGACAGAAAGACCCUAUGAAGCUUUACUGUAGCUUGGUAUUGUGCCCGGGCUCUGAAUGCGCAGGAUAGGUGGGAGGCUUUGAUCCAUUGCUUGUGGGUAAUGGUGAGCCAACGGUGAGAUACCACUCUUUCAGAGCUAGGGUUCUAACCCUCACCCGUUAUCCGGGGAGGGGACAGUAUCAGGUGGGCAGUUUGACUGGGGCGGUCGCCUCCUAAAAGGUAACGGAGGCGCGCAAAGGUUUGCUCAGGCUGGUUGGAAAUCAGCCGACGAGUGUAAAAGCAGAAGCAAGCUUGACUGUGAGACCAACAAGUCGAACAGGGACGAAAGUCGGCUUUAGUGAUCCGACGGUUCUGAGUGGAAGGGCCGUCGCUCAACGGAUAAAAGUUACUCUAAGGAUAACAGGCUGAUCUCCCCCAAGAGUUCACAUCGACGGGGAGGUUUGGCACCUCGAUGUCGGCUCAUCGCAACCUGGGGCUGAAGUCGGUCCCAAGGGUUGGGCUGUUCGCCCAUUAAAGCGGUACGCGAGCUGGGUUCAGAACGUCGUGAGACAGUUCGGUCCAUAUCCGGUGCAUGCGUAAGAACAUUGACAGGAGUUCUCCCUAGCACGAGAGGACCGGGAGGAACGCACCUCUGGUGUACCAGUUAUCGUGCCAACGGUAAACGCUGGGUAGCCAUGUGCGGAGAGGAUAACCGCUGAAAGCAUCUAAGUGGGAAGCCCACCUGAAGAUGAGUGUUCUCAUGGA